rnacentral:lncRNA from 1 species
GACAAAUAUUUGCAGACACUCCUAACGCUGGCCGGCCGUAUUUGGAGGAAGCUCUGAAUCGAUCUGAUAGCCCGACAAACGAAGGAGAUCUCUUUCUUCCUCUGUCUGUGAGGCUUUUAAAAAAAUAUAUGACUCCUCGAGGCAUUCAAACAGAAAGUAAGCUCACUCAAGUUAGAGUCAGUGAAUUAGAGAAGCACUUAAACUUAAAUCCAAAGGACGAUCAAGACUGCGUAAAUUCCUUGUGUUCUCUAGCGAAGACGAGGCAGGCACUGCUGAUAGAGUAUCAAAAACUGACAAAGAGUCAGAAUCAGAAGACGACACUAUUUCUCCAGUGGAGCCACCAAAAGUCAUCCGUAAAUCAGCCCCUGCGCGUCUGUUAACAUCACGUAAGAAGCGACGAAAAAAUGCAAAAGAAACCACACAGAAAAAAUCUUUGGUUCAGAAACCUACUGUCAUUGUUAACAAGAGGAAGACGCAGCAGGUCGAAAACAAGGAAAACCUGAACGUUGACAGAGCUAAGGCCGGGAUCAACAUGGACACAAAAAUAGAAAGUAAAACCCAGAAACCGCCCAGUAAAAUGAACAGUGCUGUCAAGAGGAAACUUCUGCAGACUUCACAACUAAUAAUGUUGGAUGCACCAGUAGAAGAUCUGUCAAUUAGCAAACCAGUGCCCGAAUGAAGCCUCUGCCUCCCGAGAGCUCGCCUAAAAAGAGAAAGUUUCCUCCUACCUCAACCACUAAAGUUUCAUCUCAAAGUAGCACAGCGUCAAGUGGCUCCCGCUACAGUGAGAUGUACCGUCUCAUGUCAUCAGAUGAGGAAGAGCGGAAUUCAGCUGCAUGGUUCGCAACACCUCGCCGAAAUAAAACUCUUCCCAAACCUGUACUUGUCUGUACAAGUUUGCAUACCAAUGAAUCAGUGGAAGUUAAUACAAUUGUAGGUAAGCUUGGGCUCUUUGAAACUGCAACCAAAGUAAACCCCCAGACAACGCAUGUUGUAGCAGGUGGCCCAGGAGGACUCUCAAUCUUGUCAAAGGCAUGGCAAGAGGCUGCUGGAUCGUCAGGAAGGAAUGGGUAUGUAUCUUACAUGGGUAUCUUACACUGUAACUUCAAGCUCUCUCAAACUGUAAAUGUUCUUUUUUUGUCCUAGUUAUGUGUAGUCAUCUGUCCACUCCCUUGCUAUAAUUUUUCAGGUAUCAGGAGGUAAUAGUUUUUAAUGAGCUUGCUGUCUGCAAAUUUUCUAAUUGUGACUGAGGUUUCUCAUAACACAAAACAGCCUGAAAUUAACUCUGAUUCAAGAUAUUAAUGUUUUUAUUUAACACUGGUUUUGAAAAUUUUGCAUUUUCUACUUGCAAGAGAACAUGCUCUAUGUUCUCUUGCCUUAUAUAUUUGAAAAAAAUAGAUACCAUCAUCGCUCCACCCUAAAAAUUUCAGCAGGUGUCUAUGAAGGUACGUUCUAACAUAGGACAAAUUUAAACAAAAUCGAAGGGGGGCUUUUUUGGGUAUGGCCCCCCAAAGUUUAAAAAAGGGGUACCUAG